GACGAACGCUGGCGGCGUGCUUAACACAUGCAAGUCGAACGGUAAGGCCCUUCGGGGUACACGAGUGGCGAACGGGUGAGUAACACGUGGGUGAUCUGCCCUGCACUUCGGGAUAAGCCUGGGAAACUGGGUCUAAUACCGGAUAGGACCACUGCCUGCAUGGGUGGUGGUGGAAAGCUUUUGCGGUGUGGGAUGGGCCCGCGGCCUAUCGGCUUGUUGGUGGGGUGAUGGCCUACCAAGGGGACGACGGGUAGCCGGCGUGAGAGGGUGACCGGGCGCACUGGGACUGAGAUACGGCCCAGACGCCAACGGGAGGCAGAAGUGGGGAAUAGUGCACAAUGGGCGGAAGCCUGAUGCAGCGACGCCGCGUGAGGGAUGACGGCCUUCGGGUUGUAAACCUCUUUCAGCACCGACGAAGCGCAAGUGACGGUAGGUGCAGAAGAAGGACCGGCCAACUACGUGCCAGCCGCCGCAGUAA
rnacentral:rRNA from 1 species